AUGGGCCGUGCGCGUGGGACCCCAGCGGGACCCUGCUGGGUUGGUCCUGCCUGGAUCCAUCAGGGUGCUCUGGUCCAGCUCCUCUGGGGCGCUCCCAUGAGCUUCCUCUUCCAUGCGCUCAUCUACGUCCAUGUUCUUGUCUGUAUCCAUGUACAUAUCUGUGUCCACAUCUAUGUCCAUAUCCAUGCCCGUGUCCCUCUCCAGCAGCUGCCACAUCCCAGGACUAAGGAAAUCCAUAAGCACACGCAGAUGGAUCCUGGGGGGCUCCUGUGCUGGUGGCUCCUGGGCUGGGCGCUCCUGGGCUGGGGGCUCCCUGAGGGUCUCGGCCGCUUCCUGCCGCUCCAGCAGUGCCCGCAGCAGUUGGCAGCGGCGCUCAACGGCUGCCUGGUUUUCCCGGACGACGCGGAGCAGCUCCAGGAUGAGCUCCGUGUGGGAGCAGUGGGGCUCCAUGGGGCUCUGCGCUCCAUCCCUGGGAGAGCUCUGCUUGCUCGACCCCAGGGAGUGAAGGGGGCUGGGGGCUGCUGCCAGGAGAGCCGGGGGCUCAGGGCUGGGGCACAGGGCUGGCUCUGGCUCUGGCUCUGGCUCUGGUUGUUGUUCUGGGUCAGUCCGAGGGACAAGAGCAGCCAACUCUGCCAGCGCACCAGGCCAGGGCUCCGGGAAGGAGUACAGGGAGGAAAAGGAAGAGGAAGAGGAAGAGGAAGAAGCAGCAGCCAGGGAGCCCAGGGACACCAUGGAUGCCAGCGGGGCCCAGGCAGCUUCAUACUCCUUUCCUCUGGGCUCGUCCUGCAGGAGGAAAUGGAGGAGCUGGGGGGACCCGCUGCCCCCAUGCCCACGGUUGGCCACAACCCCAGCGGAGCCUCCUGCCAUGGCCCUGAGCCCAGGCCCUGCAGAGGUGGGGGAACAGGUCUGGCCAAGCAGCAUUUGCCUGUGUCCAUGCCGAUGCUCCCCCCUGGGAGCUGCUACAUGCCAGUACCAAGGACAUCCAUCCGUACAGACAGAUGGGGGAGCUGAGGGGACCCGCUGCCCCCAUGCCUGCGGGUUGACCAUGGCCGCAGCGGAGCCCCCACCCGUGGCCCUGA
rnacentral:lncRNA from 1 species